UACGUAGGGAGCGAGCGUUGUCCGGAUUCAUUGGGCGUAAAGAGCUCGUAGGCGGCUUGGUAAGUCGGAUGUGAAACCUCCAGGCUCAACCUGGAGUCGCCAUCCGAUACUGCCAUGGCUAGAGUCCGGUAGGGGCCCACGGAAUUCCUGGUGUAGCGGUGAAAUGCGCAGAUAUCGGGAAGAACACCCGUGGCGAAGGCGGCUCUCUGGGACGGUACUGACGCUGAGACGCGAAAGCGUGGGGAGCGAACAGG
rnacentral:rRNA from 1 species